UGGGGAAUAUUGCACAAUGGGGGAAACCCUGAUGCAGCGACGCCGCGUGAACGAAGAAGGUAUUCGUAUCUUAAAGUUCUGUCCUAUGGGAAGAUAAUGACAGUACCAUAGAAGAAAGCUCCGGCUAAAUACGUGCCAGCAGCCGCGGUAAUACGUAUGGAGCGAGCGUUGUCCGGAAUUAUUGGGCGUAAAGGGUACGCAGGCGGUUUAAUAAGUCGAAUGUUAAAGAUCGGGGCUCAACCCCGUAAAGCAUUGGAAACUGAUAAACUUGAGUAGUGGAGAGGAAAGUGGAAUUCCUAGUGUAGUGGUGAAAUACGUAGAUAUUAGGAGGAAUACCAGUAGCGAAGGCGACUUUCUGGACACAAACUGACGCUGAGGUACGAAAGCGUGGGGAGCAAACAGG
rnacentral:rRNA from 2 species